UACGAAGGGUGCAAGCGUUACUCGGAAUUACUGGGCGUAAAGCGUGCGUAGGCGGUUUGUUAAGUCCGCUGUGAAAGCCCGGGGCUCAACUCCGGAAUUGCCUUUAAGACUGCAUCGCUAGAAUUGUGGAGAGGUAAGUGGAAUUCCGAGUGUAGAGGUGAAAUUCGUAGAUAUUCGGAAGAACACCCGUGGCGAAGGCGGCCCACUGGGCCGGUACUGACGCUGAGGCGCGAAGGCGUGGGAGCGAACGGG
rnacentral:rRNA from 1 species